rnacentral:rRNA from 1 species
AACGCGAAGAACCUUACCUGGGUUUGAAGUGCAGGUGUAAGCCCCAGAGAUGGGGUCCCCUCUUCGGAGGCACCUGUAUAGGUGCUGCAUGGCUGUCGUCAGCUCGUGUCGUGAGAUGUUGGGUUAAGUCCCGCAACGAGCGCAACCCUUGUCCAUAGUUACUAACGGGUAGUGCCGAGAACUCUAUGGAGACUGCCGGUGAUAAACCGGAGGAAGGUGGGGAUGACGUCAAGUCCUCAUGGCCUUUAUGUCCAGGGCUACACACGUGCUACAAUGGACGGCACAAAGAGUCGCAAAACCGCGAGGUUGAGCUAAUCUCAAAAAACCGUUCUCAGUUCGGAUUGCAGUCUGCAACUCGACUGCAUGAAGCUGGAAUCGCUAGUAAUCGCGGAUCAGCACGCCGCGGUGAAUACGUUCCCGGGCCUUGUACACACCGAGUAUA